AAGUCAUAAUAUACAUACAGAAAAUGGCCAUGUCAUUAAUGUAGAGCCCCAGAAAUUUUCACACACCAAACAUACACACUCUAAUGAGCACCACAAAAACUUCCCUAUUGUUCUACAACAGUCACUAACUGCCCUGCCCUGUGAGGGUAAUCGCAAUCCCAACUUCUAGCAGCAUAGCCUAGAUUCACCUUUUUUUUUUGUAUUUGGAUAAAUCGAGUCACCUAAUAUGAACUCUUUCAUGUAGACCUUGUUUGUUGAUCAUGACAUCUGACAUCUGUCAGAUUCAUCCAUGUUGUUUUAUGUAGCAAUAGUUAAUUUACCCUUGGUUCUUUGCAUGAAUAUACAACAAUUAUUUUAUUUAUUCUAGUAUUGGUGGAAAAUUUGGCAGUUUCAGUUUUUUAGCUAUUGACAACAGCAUUCUCUCAACAGUCUGGAACAUAUCUUUGGUAAGCAUGUACGUAUUUCUAUUAGGGAUGUACCUCGGUAAAUCCAGAGAUUUUCACAUUGUAAUUUUUAAACUGUAAGUUGACAGAAAUCACCCCCAGCCUUUCCCUUCCAAACUUUCCCCUUCUUUAUUAAUUAUAAUUCUUACCACAACUCUCAAUUAAUCAAAACCGUUCUGAAAAAGAGACAGAGGCAAAUUAAUUUACUCUACAUUAUACCAUGCCUAGGAAUUCCUAAUUUAUUUCUAAGGAUAGUGCUUUGAUUUAAAGGGACAACUUUCUGAUUGUAGAAUUUCAGAAACCGGUGAGCCAGGCAUAAAAGAAUUAUUGGUAGAGUUCAGCAAAUGGUUUUCUCUUAUUUGAUACAGAUUUUUGCUUUAAAUUCCUUUGGACAAAAUGUUAUGAGAAAAACACAAAAUGAUUAAUGAAUUAAUUGUUUACUCGUUGAUGUUAACUGAUCAUUGUUAGACCCUGUGCACUUAGACAGGUCUUCCAUUCCCUCCAAGUCCUGGCCUCACUCUACACAAUACACUGGUAAAAAUCUGUCACCCUGCUCAGAGAGGGUGUGCCCAUAUGUACUUCAGAUUCAUCACUGGUGUCUAUCCUUCAGGUGUUUCUUUGUCGCUGACUCGUUUCUUAGGGAUCCGAAGAACCCUAUGGAACUUUCCUAUGGAAUUCUCACCCAUAGACCCUGGAUCCUUAGUUUUAAGGUUCAUUGAUGUACUAAGCAAUACUUAAAUAUUUCCCAGGUUGUUGAUCCAAGGAGCAAGGGGGGAGGUGAGAUUCAUGAAUGGCAAGUUGUAUGGCAGAUGUACCUGACAGCAGUCACUUAAUUUAAGCAUACCCUGAAUUCUAUUCUUAGACCCUAUGGGGAGUCUAAGAAAUCCAAGAGUGGUCAACCCAGGUAUUCAUUCCUUAUCUAUGAGGAACAUCUAAGAAAUGCAAGAGUGUUCAACCCAGGGAUUCAUUCCUUAUAUAUGAGGAACAUCUGAACCUCCAGCCCGUCCCUUGGAACACAGGCCAUACAGAGUAUCUAGGCUGUUUGUUUUGGGUUAAAUGAAGGUUGCCAGGUGGAGGUUGCUGGAAGAGAAAGCUAAGUUAAAAUGCUAUAUAAACUGCAUGCUUUUUACAAGUGGUCACAGUUCUCUUGUCUACCCUGCCACUACUGAACUGCCCUGUAUGUAAGUCUUCUUAAUAAACCCUAUGUUUCAUUCUCUGGCUUUGGGUUUCUUCUUCAGCUUCUUGGACAUUGUACCAUCACUAUUGAAAUCCAUCGGGGUCUGGCUGACAUAAAUGCAUGCUUUUCCCAAGAGGAAAGACAGUUCUCUAGGCCUGUUUCCUCAAGUAUAAAAUUGGAAUAAUAACAUUUCCA
rnacentral:lncRNA from 1 species